AGAUUCCAAGGUCAUAGAAAACUCAACAACUCCUCCCUAUAUUUAAUUACUAGGUGACAAGAAAACACAAAAGGAGCAGAUGGAGGUCAAGGAGAACUUACCAUGGGAUCUUGUGGGCUCCCUCUUAGCACACUGGUGGAACAGAGCCAGCACGGAGCCCCACCAGAAGUAUCCCUACAUCAUUUGAUGGACUCCAGAAGACUCCAUCCCAGCAGCAUGUCGGCAAUGCACUAAGACAGAGAGAACCACCCAUCUGAUGAGGUGGUAUCCAAACAUGGAAGGCAAUAUUGGCAUAAUAAGAUUUUACAGAAUUCGUCAAAGUUUGCAAUGUUUAUGCCAUCACAAGUUUAAUUAAAUGCAUUGUGAGUUCCUGAAAGUAGAUAGACUUUGUGUGAAUGUCUGGUGGAAACCUGG
rnacentral:lncRNA from 11 species